ensembl:lincRNA
GGGAGGGCUCGGCCGCCGCCGCCGCGCCGGGUCGUGCUUAAUAUUCAAUGAGCUCGCUCGCGCCUCCCCCUCCUCUUCUGGCAGAAAUUCCACCGAGUCCGUUACUGGGCUCAGACUUUUAAGUUAUUUACUGCCCACCCCCGACUCCCCUGGGCUAGUAACCAGUGUCUUUGGGGCUAUCCUCGCCCCCGACUCCCGCCUGAAAAUGACAUUUCGCCGGCGUCUCCGGAGGGGGCCGAAUUUCACUUUGUAACUUUCUGCGGAACCCGAGCCCGGGUGGCAGCUCGGGUGGUGGUAUCGUAUGCAAAUACGCAUGCUGACGUUACAGAUCAUGUGGGUUUUGGCGUAGAUUCCCCACUGAUCGAGGCAUUUUUUCCCCUUUUUUUUUACCCCCUUCUUUUUUUUUUUUUCUUUGAAAAAUUUUGGCCACCCAUCCCCGCGUGGGGCUGCUUCUGUCGGUGUGUCUGGCAGGCCGGCUUUCCCCCCUCUUUCCCACGGAGCCCGAGCCGGGCGCCCGCUGGGGAGUGGGGAGUGGGGUGGGGGGAGCCAGCAGAGUUCCAUUUUGGAACGCCCGAGCCGCGUCUCCGCGUUCCCAGCCCGGGUCCCCGCGUCCCCAGCCCCGGCGCAGGUUCAGUCGAGUACACUGGGCAAGAAGGUGGGCUGCAGAACCUGACAGCCUACAUCCCAAUCCUGGCUCCCCCCACUCACCAGCUGAUGACCCCAGGUGAAGAAACAGAGUCUCAACCAAGUGUCACAGCCAGGACCCAGCCCAGACCUUCCACCCCUAAAGUCACAGAGCAGAGCGUAGCUGAGUUGGAAAGACAGGUAGGAGCCACACCCUCCCGGGCCUUGUGGGACUUGGUAAAGGGGCUUGGGUUCAGUGUGAGUCCAGUGGGAAGGCCUGGAGGGUGUAAGCUGGGGAGUGCUGUGACUUUAUCUCCAUUUUAAGAUCACUGGUUGGAAUGUGAAGAACAAAAGUGGAAUCAGGGAGUCCAGUUGGGUCAGGGAGUCCAAAUGGGAGACCCUUGUGGAAGUUCAAGCUAGAGAUGGCAGUGGCUUGAGCUAUGGUGUUGUCUGUGGAGACAAGGAAAAGUGGAUGGAUUCAGAGAUUCAUAGGUCAAAGAGAGCCGUAUUGGUGGAAUGGAUGUGGCUGGUGACGGUGAGGGGAGAACCAAGGUUGGCUCCCACCCUCCGUGCGGGUUAUUGAGUGGCUGAUUGUGGACGAGGCUCCAGGAGGAGCAGGUUUCCGAGAUGAGGGGGAGCCUCAAGGGCCCAAGUGGACACGCCAGGGCACUUGUUUUUGGAAAGAGGACAUAUUUCCCCCAAACACUUGCUCCUGGGCAUUUAGUAAAUGCUUUCUGUGAGCUGGGGGUCUAGGGCCCCAUUCCCUGUCAGCCUGUUUGCAAAGAAUGCUGCCACUGGCUCCGCCAGGGAGCUGGGAGCAGCUAAGGACCCCUUCUCGGAACACUGGGCCUGGUGCAAGAAACAAACAGAAAGCCCUGGUGCCUUCUCAUGUGGCAGGCAUCGGGGGACUUUAUCCCUCGCCAAUCCCCACGGGCUCUUUUCUCUGCCCAUGUCGGAAAGGGACUAAUUUUCUUCUUCUUUAAUGUGGUAUUUGGGCCUUGAGUGACUUUUGCCAGUGGUAGCUUGUGAGUAGAUGAAACCAGUAUAAUAACAGUAACAUCAACAGCAGUAAUAAACAUUUGUAGAGAAGAAGCCUCGUUGAUGGACAUCUGUUUGAUUUGUGCCUCCCGAAAAUCUCCGAGGUGUGGUAAGUGGUGUGUUUUGCAUUGUUUGUGAGGCCAAGGAAUGGAGUGGCCAAGAACAUGUGAACUUAUGAAAAUAAUAGCACCUACCUCAUAGGUUUCUUUGGGAAGAUUCAAGGAGCCGAGCUCAGUUAGCAGCUUCUAACAGGGGUUGGCACAUGAAUGUUAGCCAGGGCGAUUACCAUUAGGACAGAUAGAGAAACUGAGGCACAGUGAGGCUGUGAUGUUCACAUUGUGUCCACUCUGUGGUAUUCCUGGACGCUACUCACAAAAGCAAUGUGUGCCAAAUGCUAUUCGGUUGGACCGGAAGGCUCCUGCCAGGGCUGGGUCUAUAUUAAAUUCUCCUUUCCCGUGAGUGAGCCCCCCAUCUCCCCAGCCAUCCAUCUCCACACAGCUUCCUUGCAAGUCUACCUCUCCACCAAGUGGCGUGAGUACACAACCCAGGUGGGCCCAGAGCCUGUCCCCUCCUCCCUGCCUCCGUCGCUCUCCUGACCUGGCUGCCCUCCCAUCUGUCCAUCAUCCUCCCGUCCUCCCCAUUCACCGACCGUAGGGUUCAGGCCCCGCCUCCACCACCUCCUUCCCUGACCCCUACCCUCAUGCCCACCCUUCUCCAGAGGAUUCCUGCAGUGCGGAGCCACCCCAGGGUCUGGUGUGUGGCAUCAUCAAUCCCAGUUUAUUACACGUGUAGGAGGUGGCUCCCCGUCGGGUAGUUGGAGACAGAGGCCUUGUCUUAUACCUUGUCACUCCCCAGCCCCCAUGCUCCUGGCCCAGUGCCAAGCCCAGAGCAGGUGCCAUGACGUUUUACGACUGACUCAUAAAAAAUAAGGAGGUUGAGUGCCUCAAGCAGUUGAGUGCCUGCU